CAGAACUGGCCAUUAGGAUACCAUGACUGGUCAUCUUACUUACCAAAUAGUCUCAUAUUUGAGCCCACACAGCACUUCCCAAGGAUGUACAGAGGUGAAAAGAUAUGUAGACGGCACAAAAAGGUAAACAGAUGCAACUAAGAGGAAUCGAGCAAAGAAGGCAAAGAAAAGAAAAGAAGAAGAAGGCGAAGAAAGAAGAAGAAGAUGCAGCCUAAGUAUGGUAGACACUGUAUGCAAAACUGUCCUUCUCAAUUGCAGAAUCUUCAUAUCAACUAGUUGCAGCAGAUUACAAAGUUCUGCAAAUGGUAUUCGCCAUGCAAAAAUGUUCAAACAAAGAACCAUAAAGCAAGGCAUUGUUUGGAGGGUUUCUCAUUGUGUUUUUGCUCCCUAGCUAGGUGUGAUUUUCUCUUUUCCAGGGCUUUCCCCUGCAGUUGAUUCAGCAGGUCUUUUUCCCUGCUUCGUUCUGGUUGUAAGGGUUUGCCCUCUGAUUUUUGUUUGUUUGCUCAAUAGAUGGUUUAAUUACCAAAAAAAGAGUUAAGAAGUUUAAGAUUCAAACUUUAUUCCCCAAUCCAAGCUUCAUUAGAAUGUUCAUUGUAUCGGGGGGUUUUUUCCUGCACUUCUUGGUCCCAUUUUCUUCUUUUUCCUCCCUUGAGGGGAAAGAGAAUAGAAACUGGAAUAAGAAGGCAGCAAAGAAAAUGAACGUUUGGCCCGUUAGGCUCGUUUAUCAAACCUUUAAAAUUGCCAACAGGCAAUCACAGAGCAAUGCAAGCGUACUAGCAUGCAUAUUGUAGCCGAUAACACAUGCAGCAGGGCUGCUAAACGAUCCAAGCCACCCAAGUUUGAGCUCGUGGCUUGUUAAAAGCUUGUCCACAAAAAAAAAAAAACAACAACUCAGAACGUAUAUUCUUAUUGCUUAACAAACUAGCUACUACUCGGCUUACUCUGCUCGUUUGACUUAUAGUUAUGAUGUAUAAGAAUUCAAGCUACUCGAGAUCAGCGAGUUUGGCUCGAUCAAAACUUGUUUGAGAUAGACUUGUCUCAUAAACAAGCUAAGCCAUAACAUAUUUUGAACCUCGUUAAAUUUUUCACACCAUGCUUGAACAACAACCCGCUCGGCUCGUUUAUCACCCCUACACAUACUACACACACAUACAUACUGUAACAUACAUACAUACA